CUGGAAUUCGCCCUUACUCCUACGGGAGGCAGCAGUGAGGAAUAUUGGACAAUGGGUGAGAGCCUGAUCCAGCCAUCCCGCGUGCAGGAAGACGGCCUUAUGGGUUGUAAACUGCUUUUAUACAGGAAUAAACCACCUUACGAGUAGGGUGUUGAAGGUACUGUAUGAAUAAGCACCGGCUAACUCCGUGCCAGCAGCCGCGGUAAU
rnacentral:rRNA from 1 species